UCUGAUGUGAAAGCCCUCGGCUUAACCGAGGAAGCGCAUCGGAAACUGGGAAACUUGAGUGCAGAAGAGGACAGUGGAACUCCAUGUGUAGCGGUGAAAUGCGUAGAUAUAUGGAAGAACACCAGUGGCGAAGGCGGCUGUCUGGUCUGUAACUGACGCUGAGGCUCGAAAGCAUGGGUAGCGAACAGGAUUAGAUACCCUGGUAGUCCAUGCCGUAAACGAUGAAUGCUAGGUGUUGGAGGGUUUCCGCCCUUCAGUGCCGCAGCUAACGCAUUAAGCAUUCCGCCUGGGGAGUACGACCGCAAGGUUGAAACUCAAAGGAAUUGACGGGGGCCCGCACAAGCGGUGGAGCAUGUGGUUUAAUUCGAAGCAACGCGAAGAACCUUACCAGGUCUUGACAUCUUUUGAUCACCUGAGAGAUCAGGUUUCCCCUUCGGGGGCAAAAUGACAGGUGGUGCAUGGUUGUCGUCAGCUCGUGUCGUGAGAUGUUGGGUUAAGUCCCGCAACGAGCGCAACCCUUAUGACUAGUUGCCAGCAUUUAGUUGGGCACUCUAGUAAGACUGCCGGUGACAAACCGGAGGAAGGUGGGGAUGACGUCAAAUCAUCAUGCCCCUUAUGACCUGGGCUACACACGUGCUACAAUGGAUGGUACAACGAGUUGCGAGACCGCGAGGUCAAGCUAAUCUCUUAAAGCCAUUCUCAGUUCGGACUGUAGGCUGCAACUCGCCUACACGAAGUCGGAAUCGCUAGUAAUCGCGGAUCAGCACGCCGCGGUGAAUACGUUCCCGGGCCUUGUACACACCGCCCGUCACACCAUGAGAGUUUGUAACACCCGAAGCCGGUGGCGUAA
rnacentral:rRNA from 2 species